rnacentral:rRNA from 1 species
UACGUAGGGUGCGAGCGUUUAAUCGGAAUUACUGGGCGUAAAGUGUGCGCAGGCGGCGUCGCAAGUCGAGUGUGAAAGCCCCGAGCUUAACUUGGGAAUUGCGCUCGAAACUACGAUGCUGGAGUGUGGCAGAGGAAGGUGGAAUUCCACGUGUAGCGGUGAAAUGCGUAGAGAUGGGGGAGAACACUCGUGGCGAAGGCGGCCAGCUAGACCAGUUCUGACACUGAGGCGCGACAGCGUGGGGAGCAAACAGG